rnacentral:tRNA from 1 species
GAGGAUAUAGCUCAGUUGGUAGAGUGCUAGCCUAGCAUGCAUAAGGCCCUGGGUUCAAUCCCCAGCACCACCA